UAUUUAUCUAUAAUACAGAAGCUGUGUUGUUCAGCUUUACAGAGCCCAGAGACAAUUACAAAUCUACAAUAGAACAUGGCUUAUUACAUUAAAAUAAACCUUUGUUUACCCUUCAUCACCACCUGCCUGCAUCGGGGCUGCCAAACCCUGACAUGAAAGUGUGACGUUACUAUGAAAACUCCAGUGCUGGAGGGGGUAACAGCAUGUCAAAACGUGCAACUCUUCUGUACUUCAGUAUUGGCAGGUAUUUUACUCCUGUUCCUUGUUUUCAUGUGUAUUCAUUAAGUGUCCAGGUCACAGUUGAAGGUGUUGUUGGAGGUUUUGCUGUCUUACCAUGUUCUAGAAAUCAGAAGACAGAAGUAAUCAUGGAGCACAACAAAGACCGGAAAAUAUUGUAACAGUGGCUUUGCUUUCUUUUUCCAUUCUGCUCUUUAUCUGAGUUAUGACACAACCUGUAGUAUUUAUGCCAUUAUUUUAUUUCAAGGUUAAUGGAAUUCAUAAUAACUGUAGGUCAACCAUUGCUGUUUCAGGUGUGUAUGUAACUCCACUGUAGUUUAAGGGAGUCAAUCCUAUUUCAAUUUGAUUAUCUAUACCAACAUGUUGUAAUGUUACAUGGACAUUAUGCACUGUUUAUGAAUGCAAUUGAUCGCUUCUCUGUCCUUGAGCAAAAUGUAAUACUUUCCCUAAAAUGGGCUUUUUGCUGAUCUAUAUUUA